UACAGAGGUCUCAAGCGUUGUUCGGAUUCAUUGGGCGUAAAGGGUGCGUAGGUGGCGCCGUAAGUCGGGUGUGAAAUUUCGGAGCUUAACUCCGAAACUGCAUUCGAUACUGCGGUGCUUAAGGACUGGAGAGGAGACUGGAAUUCAUGGUGUAGCAGUGAAAUGCGUAGAGAUCAUGAGGAAGACCAGUGGCGAAGGCGGGUCUCUGGACAGUUCCUGACACUGAGGCACGAAGGCCAGGGGAGCAAACGGG
rnacentral:rRNA from 1 species